AUUGAACGCUGGCGGCAGGCCUAACACAUGCAAGUCGAGCGGGGGUAGCAAUACCCUAGCGGCGAACGGGUGAGGAAUGCUUGGGAAUCUGCCUGGUAGUGGGGGAUAACGUUCCGAAAGGAACGCUAAUACCGCAUGCGUCCUACGGGAGAAAGGGGGGGAUCUUCGGACCUCUCGCUAUCAGAUGAGCCCAAGCGGGAUUAGCUAGUUGGUGAGGUAAAGGCUCACCAAGGCGACGAUCCCUAGCUGGUCUGAGAGGAUGAUCAGCCACACUGGAACUGAGACACGGUCCAGACUCCUACGGGAGGCAGCAGUGGGGAAUAUUGGACAAUGGGCGAAAGCCUGAUCCAGCCAUGCCGCGUGUGUGAAGAAGGCCUUCGGGUUGUAAAGCACUUUAAGCGAGGAGGAAGGUUCGUCACCUAAUACGUGACGGAAUUGACGUUACUCGCAGAAUAAGCACCGGCUAACUUCGUGCCAGCAGCCGCUGUAACAC
rnacentral:rRNA from 1 species